GACGAACGCUGGCGGCGUGCUUAACACAUGCAAGUCACGGGGGGCCCGCAAGGGCAACCGGCGAACGGGUGCGUAACACGUGAGCAACCUGCCGCGCUCUGGGGGGAUAGCCGGCCCAACGGCCGGGUAAUACCGCAUACGUUCUUUAGGGGGGAGUCCCCUGAAGAGGAAACCUCCGGGGGAGCGCGAGGGGCUCGCGGCCUAUCAGCUAGUUGGCGGGGUAAUGGCCCACCAAGGCGACGACGGGUAGCUGGUCUGAGAGGAUGGCCAGCCACAUUGGGGACUGAGAGACGGCCCAGACUCCUACGGGAGGCAGCAGUGGGGAAUCUUGCGCAAUGGCCGAAAGGCUGACGCAGCGACGCCGCGUGUGGGAGGAAGC
rnacentral:rRNA from 1 species